AAGAUUUGAUGGAGCUGAUCAAGUGGGUCCUCUGAGAGGCAGCUGGAGAGGAAGAGUGAUUUGAAAUAUUCCUCAGGCUCAUUUGUGAACUCAACUGUUUGAAUGCAAGCAUUGUUGGCAGUGCUGGUAGCGCAGAAGCGGCUCUGUUCACAGCUGUAUGCUGCUCGUCAGGGUCUUUCCCUGAGAAGGCCUUGGAUAAUGAAAUCCAUGUUCCUCUGUUACUGGAGCGAAGUGGCAUGGUUUGCUGAUGUACCGUCAGUGCUUUGGUGUCCAUCAACCCCAGGAUGUGAGCAUGCAUGUCUGCAUUGCAACAUACCUCUAACUCUCACUGUUCCUCACCAUCAUAUCAGAGUCAUCUUCUCAAAGUCUGUAGUGAUAACGUAGUCUGGACUUUAGGUGGGAUCAACACAGUCUCUAGUUCUUUCCUUUUUCCACUGUAAACAAUAUUCCCAGAUGAAAAAGCAAUUUGGGAGUUAAUGGUAAAGGUAUUGUGUUCUGAGGUUCAUCUGUUUCAGAAUACCAGAUCAGACCUGGGUUUGUUGUUCAGAUGGGCACAGCAAUCUUUAUUACAGGUGGCCUUGUGGAUACCAGGGGCUUUUUCUUUCACUUCUGCAGUCUAGUUUUCAAAGUAAGGCUUUGUUUUCCUAUCCCAUACUGCAAUGUGUAGCAUAGUGAAGACUUUUUCCUUAACUGGGGCCUGUAAGCAUUUCUUUACUACCAGAAAGGAGCUGUUAAAUUAUGUUCAUGAGUACUCAUAGGAAUCUUCCUCUGACUUCCCUUUCUCAAGUAUUUACAUGGUAAGAAUGUCUACUUAUGGGUAGAGGUGACUUAUAAUGACUAGACAUUUAUUUUUCUCUUAAUGAUUUUUUGGCAACUGCUUUGAUAGCUGUUCCCAUUCCUUUGUGCCUCUCCUGUCCUGAGAAGCAAUGUCCUUUUCUCCUAUUCUACUUUGCUUCCUCAAUGUAAAUGAGGAAAGGGUAAUUUAGGGGGAGGCAGCUCUGCAUGAGGACAAGAGUGCUGGUUUAUUAUUAGCAAAACUGCAAUAGAGGACAAUAAAUGGAAUUAUG
rnacentral:lncRNA from 7 species